UUUCCUACGGGACGCAGCAGUGGGGGAUAUUGCACAAUGGGGGAAACCCUGAUGCAGCGACGCCGCGUGGGUGAAGAAGUAUUUCGGUAUGUAAAGCCCUAUCAGCAGGGAAGAAAGAAGACGGUACCUGACUAAGAAGCCCCGGCUAACUACGUGCCAGCAGCCGCGGUAAUACGUAGGGGGCGAGCGUUAUCCGGAUUCACUGGGUGUAAAGGGAGCGUAGACGGCCGUGCAAGCCAGGAGUGAAAGCCCGGGGCCCAACCCCGGGACUGCUCUUGGAACUGUGCGGCUGGAGCGCGGGAGGG
rnacentral:rRNA from 1 species